rnacentral:lncRNA from 1 species
CUGUUUGUCUUUACUGAUGGAGAUGUGGGGAACACCAAAGAAGUGAUCGAUCUGGUGAAGAAGAAUUCAGGUUCUCACAGGUGAAACCACAAAAACACAACUAUAUCUACACAAUUGCCAGAAUGUCCAACAUGUCCUCUGUGUACUCAAAGAAAACUGUUGUAUUGCAGGUGUUUCUCUUUUGGGAUUGGGGAAGGGGCCAGCUCUGCUCUCAUCAAUGGGAUGGCCAAGGAAGGAGGAGGUCACGCUCAGUUCACCACAGGGACUGACAGGAUGCAACCAAAAGUGAUGCAGUCGCUGCAAUUUGCUCUGCAGCCAGCUGUGGUCGACAUCUCAGUCACAUGGGAUUUACCAAAGGAAGUGUCCGUCACUGUCCUCUCUCCACCAAUCACAACACUUUUCUAGGACUAACAGUCCACAGGUUGGGUGCUCGGACUCUGAUUCACUCUCUGGAGAUGGAAGCAAGAGAUCGCCGAGGUCAGCAAGAUGGAGGAGUGAAGGAGAAGGUGGUGCAGCUCAGUGUCCAAUCAGAAGUGAACAGUUCUUUCACUGCCUUUAUUGCUGUCAACAAAGAAAACAGCGAAGUGAUUCAAGGACCUCUUGUGUGCAGAAAUGUUCCAACAGCCUGAGUUUAUUUCUUUUCUUUUUUUUUCGCCUGUCCCGUUUGGUUCUUUUGCCAUCAGAAUUAUUGUCUAAAGGCAAAGAAAGAUGCCCCACGGAUUUACUUUACCAAAUGGACCAUCCCGGCCUUGCCGUAUUAGUCUAUUUGAUUCACCUUUGCUUUUAUUGUUUAUUUUAUUCUAUUUUCACUUGCUACACAUGGGACAGACAUGACUGGGGUAAAGAAAAGGGAGAAGGAAAGAUGGAAAGAAAAACAGCAGGGAAGAGGAACGGUGAUAAAGGGCAAAAAACAAAAACCAACAAAACAAACAGACAGAAAAUUACAUAUAUGAAUCACCUGGAUCACCUGUUGAGAAAGAAAAAAGAGAAAACAAGCAAAAAAAAGAGAGCAAUAUAA